GUGCGCUCCAGUAAUCCAGUGAGAUAGUUGUAGUGUAUAGGUUUGUUUUAAUUAUUGAGUUUCUAUCUGUUGUUUUUCCUGUUUCCUGUGUUCUUCAUUUUUGUCUUCAUUCCUCUUCGUUACUGUGUCUGCUCCUGAGUCUACAGUGUCAGUGCAGCAAAGAAGCGAGACCAAACAGCAGUAAAAUAACAAGAGCUUGCAUAGAUGAGGAAAUAUCAUCAGGAUAAUCUUUACUUCCAUUGAGAGAGAUGGUCAAUUUCCAGUCAGAAUGGGAGGAGAAAAUCGUUUAUAAAGCAUAUGAGGACAGUGGGGAGCGCUAAUAUUGGCCAAUGUGUCAAUAAUAUCUUGAGAAGAUUAAUGAUUGAUGAGCUGGCUAUGAAAUUCUCAUGUACUGGCCGUGCAUCAAACGGGAAAACAAAAACUCCAUUUCAUGGGAGUGAGAUAUCGAAAUUCAUACCGUACUGAUUGCUGUUCAAAAGUUGUUUGGUGACAUUGCAACUGAAGUGAAAUAUGGAUCGUUGGCGUCAAAAUGACUUCAACAAGCCAGAACAAGGGUGUUGAGAAGGACCAAGAUCAGAGAGACUAUGCCUCAUGAAGCUCAAAUCGAGGAUGAUAGCAGUUCAAAGUAAAAAUAUAUAAUUAGUUAUAAAUUGAAAGUUCAAUUUUCAUAAUAAUUAAUAAAAAUCAUUGCAUUUUAUUGAAAAUAAUGUUUUCUUAUUUACAUUUUUCGCUCAUAAUGACAUACUCUGAAGUUAAGCUUUAAAGAAAAUAAACUAAUAUAGAUAUUAACAUUUAAUAUUUCAAUAGAUAUUCAAAGUAAUAA